UAGAAGUGCAAGUCCGAAGGCCA
rnacentral:siRNA from 1 species